CCUACGGGAGGCAGCAGUGAGGAAUAUUGGUCAAUGGCCGCAGGGCUGAACCAGCCAAGUCGCGUGAGGGAUGACGGUCCUAUGGAUUGUAAACCUCUUUUGUCAGGGAGCAAAGGGCGCCACGUGUGGCGUUUUGCGAGUACCUGAAGAAAAAGCAUCGGCUAACUCCGUGCCAGCAGCCGCGGUAAUACGGAGGAUGCGAGCGUUAUCCGGAUUUAUUGGGUUUAAAGGGUGCGUAGGCGGAAGGUUAAGUCAGCGGUCAAAUGUCGGUGCUCAACACCGGCCUGCCGUUGAAACUGGUCUGCUUGAGUGAGCGAGAAGUAUGCGGAAUGCGUGGUGUAGCGGUGAAAUGCAUAGAUAUCACGCAGAACUCCGAUUGCGAAGGCAGCAUACCGGCGCGCAACUGACGCUGAGGCACGAAAGCGUGGGGAUCGAACAGGAUUAGAUACCCCGGUAGUC
rnacentral:rRNA from 1 species